rnacentral:rRNA from 1 species
GAUGAACGCUGGCGGCGCGCCUAACACAUGCAAGUCGAACGAUUAAAGCACCUUCGGGUGUGUAUAAAGUGGCGAACGGCUGAGUAACACGUGGGCAACCUGCCCUUCUCAUCGGGACAGCCUCGGGAAACCGUGGUUAAUACCGAAUACUCCGGAACCUCCACAUGCAGGUUCCGGGAAAGCUCCGGCGGAGAAGGAUGGGCCCGCGGCCUGUUAGCUAGUUGGUGGGGUAAAGGCCUACCAAGGCGAUGAUGGGUAGCCGGGUUGAGAGACCGACCGGCCAGAUUGGGACUGAGACACGGCCCAGACUCCUACGGGAGGCAGCAGUGGGGAAUAUUGCACAAUGGGCGAAAGCCUGAUGCAGCGACGCCGCGUGCGGGAUGAAGGCUCUAGGGUUGUAAACCGCUUUCAGCAGGGAUGAGGCCGAAAGGUGACAGUACCUGCAGAAGAAGCCCCGGCUAACUACGUG